AGCAGCCGCGGUAAUUCCAGCUCCAAUAGCGUAUAUUAAAGUUGUUGCAGUUAAAAAGCUCGUAGUUGAAUUUCGGGAUCAAUUAAUUGGUCGUGCCUCUGGUACGUACUGAUUUUAUUGGUUUCUCCCUUCUGACGAACCAUGAUGUCAUUAAUUUGGUGUCGUGGAGAAUCAGGACUGUUACUUUGAAAAAAUUGAGUGUUUAAAGUAAGCUAACGCUUGAAUACAUUAGCAUGGAAUAAUGAAAUAGGACGUUUGAUCCUAUUUUGUUGGUUUCUAGGAUCGACGUAAUGAUUAAUAGGGAUAGUUGGGGGCAUUAGUAUUCAAUUGUCAGAGGUGAAAUUCUUGGAUUUAUUGAAGACUAACUACUGCGAAAGCAUUUGCCAAGGAUGUUUUCAUUAAUCAAGAACGAAAGUUAGGGGAUCGAAGACGAUCAGAUACCGUGUAGUCUUAACCAUAAACUAUGACCGACUAGGGAUCGGAUGAUAGUUAAUUUUUAGNGUACUNAUUCGGCCACGUU
rnacentral:rRNA from 1 species